GAUCUCGAUAAACUAGUGACAAACAGCAGAAAAAGCCAGAAAGGGGAUUUUUUUAAAGUCCAGUGGAUUUGAUGAUUCAAAGACAUGAGGGCUGCUAGUAUUUCAGCAGAAUAGAGUAAGUGGGUACAAACUAAAGUGAAGAAAAUCAUAUUUUACUUUUAUUUGGAGGAGGAUGCAGGAUUGUGUGGAUAGAGUCCAAAAGAUGGAGAGAGAAUAAAUUCUACAUACUUGCUCUUUUCUGUUGCCUGCAACUGGAUAAACAGUAUGUGUCUACAAAAGUAAAGUGUGGAGAACUGAGGAAAUGAUCCAGAGAAUUCAGCUCCCAGUUCAACGUUUGCCUCAGCCUGUUCAUUUGUUCAACCAGAAAACUUUAUAAAACGAAAUUCCUCCUGCAUAGG
rnacentral:lncRNA from 1 species